UUGCACGAGGGCAAGCAAUAGCCAAAAGUGAAAGUACUAAACUAAACAUCCAUACAAGUACAAUGAUUAUCUUUUAAUCACAUACAUGCAUUCAACCACAAGUUACAUUUACAUUCCUUUCAUCAUUUCUUCUCUUUUUACAUCACACUAAUCUCCAAAAUGAGCUUUAACAGUUAACAUCAUUUAUACAUCUAUGAUCAUCGAAUACAAAAGAUGAUAUAUAGGGUAGCAACUAAACAAAAUAUGAUACCCACUCGGGUGGUCACUGUCUAUGGCGCGAUACCUUUACCACGAUCGUCAGUCGGUUCACUCGGUCCCGGCUUUGUGGAAAAUAGUAGGGUGAGAACUACAACAAAAUUUCCAGUGGGUUCGGCCGUCGACCUCGCCGACUUUCCCACUAUGUCUAAAUCAGGCAUAAUAAAAGAAUAAACAGAUAGAUAGUAACCAAGCUAUACAAAUGCAGCUAAUAUGCCUGAAUAAUAUAUAAUC
rnacentral:lncRNA from 1 species